UACGGGGGGGGCAAGCGUUGUUCGGAAUUACUGGGCGUAAAGGGCUCGUAGGUGGCCAACUAAGUCAGACGUGAAAUCCCUCGGCUUAACCGGGGAACUGCGUCUGAUACUGGAUGGCUGGAGUAUGGGAGAGGGAUGCGGAAUUCCAGGUGUAGCGGUGAAAUGCGUAGAUAUCUGGAGGAACACCGGUGGCGAAGGCGGGUCUCUGGACAGUUCCUGACACUGAGGCACGAAGGCCAGGGGAGCAAACGGG
rnacentral:rRNA from 1 species